rnacentral:rRNA from 1 species
CAAGUCGAACGCGAAAGCCCCGCUAGGGGUUAGUAGAGUGGCAAACGGGUGAGUAACACGUGGGUGACCUGCCUCAGAGUGGGGGAUAACGUUCCGAAAGGAGCGCUAAUACCGCAUAACAUCCUGCGUUUGGAAACGCAGACAUCAAAGCCGGGGAUCGCAAGACCUGGCGCUCAGAGAGGGGCCCGCGGCCGAUUAGCUAGUUGGUGGGGUAAUGGCUCACCAAGGCGACGAUCGGUAUCCGGCCUGAGAGGGCGGACGGACACACUGGGACUGAGACACGGCCCAGACUCCUACGGGAGGCAGCAGUGGGGAAUUGUUCGCAAUGGGCGCAAGCCUGACGACGCAACGCCGCGUGGAGGACGAAGAUCUUCGGGUCGUAAACUCCUUUCGAUCGGGAAGAACGCUUUCGGAGUGAAUACCUCCGGAGGGUGACGGUACCGAGAGAAGAAGCCCCGGCUAACUCCGUGCCAGCAGCCGCGGUAAUACGGGGGGGGCAAGCGUUGUUCGGAAUUACUGGGCGUAAAGGGCGUGUAGGCGGCCAACUAAGUCCGACGUGAAAUCCCCAGGCUUAACCUGGGAACUGCGUCGGAUACUGGAUGGCUUGAAUCCGGGAGAGGGAUGCAGAAUUCCAGGUGUAGCGGUGAAAUGCGUAGAUAUCUGGAGGAAUACCGGUGGCGAAGGCGGCAUCCUGGACCGGCAUUGACGCUGAAGCGCGAAAGCUAGGGGAGCAAACGGGAUUAGAUACCCCGGUAGUCCUAGCCCUAAACGAUGAAUGCUUGGUGUGGCGGGUAUCGAU